CAAUCUAAAAUUGCUUCUGAACAAAGAAUUCAUUCAUAUUCUCUCUCAUGCAGUAAUUCUGUUGUGGAGCUUUCCCAUCCAGCUGUUUUGGCCAGCUACUGGAAGAAACCCGGGUGUAGUAUUGAUGGAGAAGUGAUAUAUCAGUGGAAGGACUCAGAGGCAGCUUUGGAGUGUUUUAAGAGCCAUCAUUUACGUCAUGGCAGGGUUUCCAGGAUGUUACAAAAUCUAAAUUAAGCAUGAUGGCAACACCACCUGGAAAUUACUUUGCUUACAAGUGAAAGGAAACAAAGGCUGUCCCACAUGUGCUGUUCUCUCAUUUGGGUGAGUGGCUGGGUUUGGG
rnacentral:lncRNA from 1 species